UACGUAGGGUGCGAGCGUUGUCCGGAAUUAUUGGGCGUAAAGAGCUCGUAGGCGGUGUGUCACGUCGGCCGUGAAAACCUGCAGCUUAACUGUGGGCGUGCGGUCGAUACGGGCAUCACUGGAGUUCGGCAGGGGAGACUGGAAUUCCUGGUGUAGCGGUGAAAUGCGCAGAUAUCAGGAAGAACACCCCGUGGCGAAGGCGGGGUCUCUGGGACGGUACUGACGCUGAGACGCGAAAAGCGUGGGGGAGCGAACAGG
rnacentral:rRNA from 1 species